GAUCAUGGCUCAGGACGAACGCUGGCGGCGUGCCUAAUACAUGCAAGUAGAACGCUGAAGGAGGAGCUUACUUCUCUGGAUGAGUUGCGAACGGGUGAGUAACGCGUAGGUAACCUGCCUGGUAGCGGGGGAUAACUAUUGGAAACGAUAGCUAAUACCGCAUAAGAGUAGAUGUUGCAUGACAUUUGCUUAAAAGGUGCAAUUGCACCACUACCAGAUGGACCUGCGUUG
rnacentral:rRNA from 1 species